UACGUAGGGGGCAAGCGUUAUCCGGAUUUACUGGGUGUAAAGGGAGCGUAGACGGCAGGGCAAGUCUGGAGUGAAAGCCCGGGGCCCAACCCCGGGACUGCUUUGGAAACUGCCAUGCUGGAGUGCUGGAGAGGCAAUCGGAAUUCCGUGUGUAGCGGUGAAAUGCGUAGAUAUACGGAGGAACACCAGUGGCGAAGGCGGAUUGCUGGACAGUAACUGACGCUGAGGCGCGAAAGCGUGGGGAGCAAACAGG
rnacentral:rRNA from 1 species